GGGCCCAUAGCUCAGUCUGGUUAGAGCGACGGUCUUAUAAGCCGUAGGUCGAGGGUUCAAAUCCCUUCGGGCCCA
rnacentral:tRNA from 2 species